CUCUCUCUCUCUCUCUCUCUCUUUCUUGUUAUUGCGGAAGUGUUAGGCUGUAAACUUAGAGCUGAUGGUGGACACCAUGUGCUUUGAUUCAAAUGACCCCCCAAAACUCAUGUUGAAACUGAAUCCCAAAAGUGGGAGCAUUGAGAGGUGGGACCUUUAAGAAGCGAUUGUAUCCCUCUUGAGGGCAGAGCCUUUACUGACCACCUAAUGUUUUAUUAAAGCUUGUUCUGCACCACCCCUAUCCCUACCAUCACCAUCUGGAGCUCUCGAUCCUUUCCUCCAGAUUUCUUUGCUCCAUAAUAUUUAUCACUAUCUGAUACAGGGGUGUGUGGAUGUGAACAUGUAUAUGUGUGCAUGUGUGUGUUUAUGGUCCGCCUCUCCCAGUCCCCGGUAGACUGUAAGCUUCAUGAAAGCAGGGCUUUGUGUACUGUUGUUUCUGUAGCAUGAGGUCUGCCAAAAAAGUAGGUUCCCCAUAAAUGUUUGUUAAAUGAAUAUAUUCUGAUUCUAUCUCCCCCUCCUCCAGAAUGGAUCUAAAGCUUCCCAAUCUUUGCCUGAGUGAGUGUCCUACUGAGUUCAAUUUUGUUUCAGAAAGGACGUGUGUAUGUUCACCCAUAUGCUGCACAAAUAUGUAAUGGACACCAGCCAUGACCAGCCUACUGGGGACUGCUUGGCAGUAGCAACAUGGCAGCGAACAAGACAGAUGAGCCUCCUGCCCACAGAAGCUUACAUUCGGGUGGAAUACAGGCUGCAUGAGCAGAGAAGAUGACCACACACCUGGGGGAGAGUCAGAUGGCUUCUUCAAUUGGAACGUUCUUCCCUAAGGAUGAGCUAAUAUAGCACAUGACCUGAAAAUCCUUCUGGGAGACUCCAGGAUAAUCCAAGACUGGCAGAAAGUGAGAAUACCGAUUGAGAUCCAAGGACAUCCUCAUGGGAG
rnacentral:lncRNA from 1 species